rnacentral:lncRNA from 1 species
AGGGACUCGACAGGGAUAGAAACGCAACUCGUCGUUUUGCAAGAAUGGAUAUCAUUUCAAAUACAUGUACUGAAAAGAUGAGUAUAAGGAGUUGUCUUACACUCGCCACAAGCUACAUCAGAGUCACAUCAAUACAAUACAUACAAUCAUCAUGAAGAAGAGCACGGUCCGACUACGGACGAAAACAAACGAUAAAAGUACGACGUUCAUCCUUGCUAUCCCACGCUGUCGGCCUGAAACCCAUCCUAGAUCGAUGAAAAAGAAGAAGAAACUCCAAGUAUUACAAUCAGCGCGCUCACGUCAAAGCAACUCUUUACCUGUACCUGCAACUGGUGUUGUAGUGAUCUGUGAGCCACAGGGACUCAGCAAUCUCAUUUCCAAAGGUAUCAAGACAAGCAAAGCUGAAUGGGUGAGGUAAGAUUAAGUGGUGAGGCUACAGCAAACGACUAAGCAUUUAUUUGAGGUGGCUAACUUACGAGUACAAGAAUAAGAGGGGGAUGAUCUACGCAUAACGAGCGUGAACUAUUGUUGAUCUAUCCAGAUCUGUCCUAAUCACAUUUUAUAUUUGUUAAAUGGCAAAACAAAGUGGUUCAUGUGAAACUACACGUCAUUCUGGACCAUUUACAUAUAUGGCUCAUCACCAACGAAGCUAUAGUUAAAUAAAUACGACCUAAACCAUUUCUAUCACAUCGACACACAAACCGAUGCAAACAACAUGUUUAAGUAUUUUUAUCGUGCAUGAAAGUUGGAAAAUAUUAAUCCACGCAAAAAUCUACAUGUUUUACAUAUACGAACUAUUCUGAUCCGAUGCACGGUUUGAAAACUACGCGGGUUUGAAAAUAUGCUCUUUUUUGAAAUUAAAUAAAACCGAAAAACCUAAAAAAAUCUAACGGGUCGAAUCUGCGUACGGGCUAAAAUAGGGGCAUGGGCGCAAUAUAGUUAAACACCACAAGGGUGCUAGAUAGCAGGGGGGCUGGAGCUCACCUUGGGCCCAUAUGAGCUGGGCCGGCUAGGCUUAGGCGGGAGGCAAGCCGGUGGAGGAGGCCCGGAUGGGCCUUGGCGACUGGGCCGGUGGCUGGCGGCUGGGCCGAUGCGAAGCCUCGGCUAGAGAGGUUGGCUAGCUGGGUUGGUGCGAUGCGCUGGCGCUCGCCUCGUCUCCCACCUCCCGUCACUGCUGGAGCAAGGCCACGAGGCAACGACGCUCCUCCAACGAAGCAACAGAGCAGCAGCGGGGAGGAUGAGCUACGGACGGGGCCUCGGGGCGGAUCUAGGGCGGGGAAGGACAUAUACGGCACGGAUCUCGGUGAAUCUCGAGUCGAAGGUGCGGCUGCAGCUGAGCGCGGGGUCGGCGGGAGGCAGCACGAGCUGCUGUUGCUCGGGGGCGAUGCAGCGGUUGGCAACGCUCCGGCAACGACGGGGCGGCCGGAUCUGGGCGGAGCUGUAGGGAGGGGCCGUCGACUUCUGGUGGCUCAGGGAGGAGCUGCCGCUGCGCAGUGCUCGGGGCUCGGUGCAGGCUGGUUGGAUUGGGCUGGCACCACGGACACCCGGACGUGUCUGUUUUGAC